GACGAACGCUGGCGGCGUGCUUAACACAUGCAAGUCGAACGGGAGGAAAAGAGAAGCUUGCUUCUUUUUGAAUCUAGUGGCAAACGGGUGAGUAACACGUAAACAACCUGCCUUCAGGAUGGGGACAACAGACGGAAACGACUGCUAAUACCGAAUGUGUUCCGGAGACCGCAUGAUUUCCGGAAGAAAGGAUGGCCUCUAUUUAUAAGCUAUCGCCUGAAGAGGGGGAUUGCGUCUGAUUAGCUAGUUGGAGGGGGUAACGGGCCCCACCCAAAGGCGAUGAUCAGUAGCCGGUCUGAGAGGAUGAACGGCCGCAUUGGGACUGAGACACGGCCCAGACUCCUACGGGAGGCAGCAGUGGGGAACCUUCCGCAAUGGACGAAAGUCUGACGGAGCAACGCCGCGUGAGUGAUGACGGCCUC
rnacentral:rRNA from 1 species